UUGUAGAUAGUCGUAAUGACCCUCGGGUAGUAGAUAGUCUUAAUGACCCUCGUAUUGUAGAUAGUCUUAAUGACCCUCGGGUAGUAGAUAGUCUUAAUGACCCUCGUAUUGUAGAUAGUCUUAAUGACCCUCGGGUAGCAGAUAGUCUUUUUAGUAUGAUAAUAAGAUGUUAUCUUCAUUAUAGAAUAAUAAGAAAAUAUUAUAACCUUUAUAUUAUAAUAAUAAGGUAAAAGGACCCCAAUGGAAAUAAGUCACUCUGUCUGACUUUUUUGGGUUAUCCUAGGUUCUCUACACAUAUGCUGCUAUGUAUGAUAAUUCUAUGUAACUGUAUUGUGUAUACCUGAAUAAAUUUACUUACUUACUUA